GCCACUGUGGGGCGUUUGGUGCUGGCAGCUUUAAAGACUUCAAAUGGUGUACCUUCAGGAAACCGUCUACGUGUAGUGUUCAGUCGGUGCAUUCUCAGACAGGAGCUGCUCUCUAGCUGCACUCCAAGCCCCUGCUGCACCGCUGCCUCGAGCUCUGGGGAUGGGGCGCAUGCGCCUGCCACUCCGCUCCGGGCCCUGUGACUGAGCCAGCCUUUGAUUGACAGGUGAAGGACGAGGCGCGGGCACGUGUCAGCGCUCGCUCCCGCCGCUGCUCCCGCAGCGUCUCCCCUCCCCCCGCUACUCGCUCCCUCCAGGGCCCGCACCUCGGCGUUACCCCGCCAGCGAACAUGGCGGCGCUCAGCCCGGAGCCCGCAGCCGCAGCGGGGCGGCUCCGAGCGGGCGCCCAGCUCUCGGUCACCGUGGAACACGUCGUCAGCGGCACCUUGGUGGUGUCCACCAACUUCGGAGGGAGCAGCUUCACCGGGAUCCUGAUAGAUAUGGCCAAGAAGUCUGGUUUGUAUGGUUUUCCUGCGAACCAGUUUGCCAAGCAAGAGGAGUUUCCUGCCAAGUCGUGUACCAGUGACAUCCUUGAUGGUAAAGAACAGGCAGUGUGUCAAACUGAGUCGCAGCUUUGCAACAUGCAAGUUUCCAAUAUGUUAGGCAGAGAACAAAUUUCACCUCUUCAGCCAUUACCAGAAACUGUGCCUUGCUUUCCACCUUAUUGUGAAGGUGUACCUCUACCACAGCCAUUAGUAUUGAGACAGACUUACAAUCAGUGGGUUCCCCAGCCGCCACCUCGGACAAUCAAGCGCACAAAAAGACGCCUGUCAAGGAAUCGCGAUCCUGGUAAGCUUAUAAUGAGCACCAUCAGAUUGCGGCCAAGGCAGGUACUUUGUGAAAAGUGCAAAAACACACUAAAUCAGGAGGAGGACGAUGAUGACAAAGAUAGACACAACAGUAAGAAUGAGAAAAAGACUAGCAUGGAGGAAAAUGAAAAGAGGAAACCUGAGGUAAUGUGCUGUGAAAAUAGGAAAAUAAAAAAGGAAAAGAAAGAUGAUAAAUUUUCUGGUGAAUUGGUACAUCGAAGCCCUGUGAUAAAAAUAUCAUAUAGCACACCUCAAGGUAAGGGAAAAGUUGUAAAAAUUCCCUCACGGGUACAUGGUUCAAUUGAGCCCUUUUGUCCUAAAAGGUUAUUGCAAAAUGAAAGUGUGGACCAGGACAAAAAUACAAAUUGUGAGGAAAUGGAGGUUCUUCCAGAAAAGUCAUUCUCUAGUCCACCUGGAACCAUUCCAAAGCUAAAACUGACUAGACCUUUGCAUUCCAGUGCAGACAUCCCACCACCUAGAAUUCGACUAAAACCUCAUCGGCUUAGUAAUGGGGACAGUGUUGCAAUUUAUAAGGCCGAGCUUGUAGAUAAUGUAAAUAGGGACGCACAGCCUACAAGGAGAUCAGAUAAUGGUACACUUCAUUCUGAAGAAUCUACAGGAAAGAGUUCAGUAGAGACGUCAGGGAGUUCUGGAGAGGAGGACCAAUGGCGGUACAAACGGAGUCGUCGAAGCAAGGAUCAAGAUGAUCUGACUGUGUAUUUAAGUUAUAGGAAAAAACGAGCAGAUUCAUCAAGUUUAUCAGUCUGUAGUAAUGAUAGUUUAGAUGAAUCAAAGUCUUCUAGUUCAGAGAUGACUUCGCCAGAAGUAUGUGAUUUUGCACCUGGAGAUGAUGCUUCUGUGUCAUCGUCUUCCAAAGAAGAAAAGACAGUGCCUCCUUUAACUGUGAGACUUCAUACCAAAACUGUAAUGAAAUGUGUAACAGCUGAUGGCAGGACUAUAUCUGUUGGAGAUAUAGUAUGGGGAAAAAUUCAUGGCUUCCCCUGGUGGCCUGCACGCAUUCUCAGCAUUAGUAUUAACAAGAAGGAAAAUGGGGCUCCACAAUGGCAGGAAGCCAGAGUGUCUUGGUUUGGAUCACCUACAACAUCGCUACUUUCUGUAUCAAAAAUCUCCCCAUUUUUGGAAUAUUUUAAAUUGAGGUUUAACAAAAAGAAAAAAGGAGUAUACCGCAGGGCAAUUACUGAAGCUGCCAAGGCAGCUGAUCACCUGACACCUGAAAUUCGAUCUCUUCUUUCACAAUACGAAACUUAACUGAGCAGCAGCAACAGGAUUUAGAAACACAGCAGAGAGAAAGGCAUUGAUAUGCUUUGAGUAGAUAGCUGAAGAUCAGGGGAAAGAUGAGUGGAUAUCCUUCCUAUGUUUUAACUGUCUCUGAGCUUCAACCAAUGCUCCAUUUUGUAUGGCAAUUACAGGCUGUUGGAUCCUGGUGAAUUCUACCAAGUUAUCUUGAAGGACUGAGCUUGAGCUGUGACAAGCAAGGGAAAGGAGCAAGCAGAAGGAAGUCUGACUUUUCUUAUUGGACUGUUAAUGGCUGUGAUGUAGCCCAUAUUAUGGGUGGACAGUGAAUGUUAUAAUUUGGAAUGUAACUAUUUAAGUCACUGUUUUCAUUGUCUCAGAUUUGUUUCAAUUGAAUAAAAUUACUGCAAAAAAUUUCCCAGGUGAACAAUGGAUAAAGACUAGAGCAUUUUUUAUUUUGAUUCAAAUGAUUUUUUAAAAAUUACAUAGUGCAGUAGUUUUAAUACAGUGAGCAUAACAUAUCUUUAAAUACUGCAGAUACCUAUUUGUCUCAAUGGUUGCGAGACAUUUUGGGUGUUUUUUUUGCAACUUCAUUGGCAUUUAGCAGCAUAUCAUUAUCACAGUGCACUAGAUGCAAGGCUUGCAAAAUGCUAAUGUUACCUCUUCUCCAGCAUUCACUGGACCUGUACCCAAUGAACAAGUAAUGUUGAAUAAUGAUGCAUUUAAAGCAGUUCAGUGGUACAGUAAAUCAUGAAGUUGUAACAUAAAUUUUACCAUAGGGAAAAGUUACGCAAAAAGAACCAUUUGUAAGAAGAGCCUGUACUGAGUAACAUGUUGGCCCUUUCAGUUGCCCUAAAGCAAUAUUAUGAAUCGUAUUAACCUGUAUCUUUAAGCACAUCAUCUUUAAGUGUAUCAAUUAAAGUUAGCUUUGGUGUCUUUCUUUAAGGUAUAUUUUGUACAUUGAUGCUGAAGUAACUAAGCAGACCAUGAUAUUAAGUUUAGAUGUGCUAUUAAUAGCACUGGACAUUGCAUAACCAGUGUGUUAGAAGAUACAAAUGUAGUCCAGGCCACCGUAAAUUGGUAGAGCUGUUCUGUUGUUUGUUCCACCAUUGCAUUUUCACUUCCAGUCCUAUUAUGUGCAUGAAGUUUACCAAAAACUGAUGUGCUUCCAUAGAAAUGAACCAAAAUUAUUUUAUUGGGGAGGAAAGUGCAGUUCAAAGAAAAUCAGGCUAUAUGAAGAUUGUUUCCAUAAUAUCUAUCUUGUUGAAAGGAUUAACAGCUUUGAUGAGUGCAUUACUUUUAUCUUUUGAAUGGUAUCUCCAGUAUGUUAUGAAUCUUGUACAGUGAAAUUCAUUAUGACUGAGCCCAAAUUCCUCCAAAGAAGCAGUGAAUUAUUCCAUCGUAACUGAAAAGGCAAUACCUGCAAGCAUACUGGUGUCUUUACCUUGUCUAUACUGCCUUUUACAGCACUUAAACACUGUCAGUUGGUAAGUGUACCUCUGCAAUAUAGACCCACAUAAAUCAGGCACUAUAUUUCAGUUUUUGGGCAAGGGUGGUCUUAGCAACUAUAUAAUUGAAAUUGGCAGCUUGAUAGGUAGGAAUGAAAAUUUGAUCCUGUUGCAAAAUACUUGUGUGCAAACUCCAAACAAAUUAAGCUCAGUUGCAAUAUUCUCUUUAAAUGACUAAAACAUAUACAAGAGGACACUUACAGUUCUGGAGGUUGCUGGACCCUGUGGAACUGCAUCAAACCAUGAGCUGAUACCUUCAGGAGGGUAAAGGUGAAUCCAAGAAAUGGGAUGGAAACAUUUUUCGAAGCAACUAUUUUGAAUGCAUGUAUGGAACUAGUGGAUAGCUGUUCUCUAUUGUUAUUUUGUUGGAGCAGAGCAUCAUUUUGCAUGUAGGUGCAUUCUAGACAAAAUGUCCACCUGUAUCCAUUACAAGCAUUUAGAGGAAUUGACCAGACAACCUCUUCAAAGCCUGGAAUAAUUCAACUUUUUUUUUUGUCAACUUCAGGUACAUAUAUCUAGGGAACCAGAGACUUGUCCAAAGAUGCUUUCAACAUUUCCCCUAGUAAGUUACCAGUUCUUGUCUCAAAAUUCUGUUUUGAGGUAUUCAAAGAAACCUGAAUGAAAACACAUAUUCAAAUUUGCAGAUCUUCAGUGUACAUGACUUACAUUUUGUACAGUUUAUCAAUCUGUUCCUGCAAAAAAUCUUUCAUCUUUUCUUCAUCUUAAUUAUUUCCAGUACCUUCUGAGAAGGAAUACUUAACAAUCUCUUAUUGUAGUACAAUUGCAAAAAAAGUCUUUAUCCUAUUUAUAACACCAUUUUCAACAAUCAUAUGCUCGUUCGUACUUCUGGUGAAAUCACUUUUUAGCGUGCAAAGUGGUUUUAGCCGUAAAAACAUGGCUGCUGCUUCCUUGAGUGGAAUAAUUCUUCCAAUCAUCCUUGUGCUAAUAGUGAAGCCUUAGGAGCUUUUAUUUGGGUGGGGGAGAUGGGGGAGGAGAGGUUAAAAUUGCAUGUACCAUAGCUUUCAUCCAUCAAUUUACCCAAUUGUUUACAAGAGUUGAUGCAGAUGAUAGGUGCCUUCCUACUUACACAGGGACAACUUCAGCCAGUGGCUGCUGCCAACUAUAAUCAUUUUUUUUUAAUGACUCCUCUGUUUUAUGGUGGUGUGGAGACACAAGAUUGGACUCCUAUGUGCAUUUGUGAAGCCAUAAGAUCCAUUUUAUGUUGAACAACAUAUUCUAGAUUCAUAAGACCAAUUUGCUGUUGUUUGAUUAAUUUCAUUUUCUUGGGAAAAUUGAAUCCUGAGGUAAAGCUCUGCCUUGCUUAUUGACGGUUUUGUUUGUCUAAACCCUGGAGAGUUCCAUUGUGUUAAAAUAUACUCUGAUAUCAAGAUGGUAAAAGGCUGCUGCAGGAAACUGUCUUUUGUGUGUAUGGCUCUCAACGGUUAUAGAUAAAGUUGCAACUACUCCACUUGGAUAGCAGAGCAAACCAACUGGAUUUAGGUAAGAUGCAGAAUUAAAAGACUUCUUGGAAUCACUUAGAAGCUGUGGCAUGUGAGGGACAGCGUAGAACCUCAAUUUCAAUGACCCUGCACUGAAAAUGUUAGCCUCAAUUGGAUUUGAUUUCCUGGGUUGUAAACUGUAGUGAAUGAUAAUAGUUUAUAUACUCUACAGGAGAUUUUCUUUUUAUUUUAAGUGAUUGUAGCAAUGAAUUUUAAAAUGUGCUCUGCUGUACUUGUAAAUGCUAGUGAAUUGUAUUCAGUCUCUGAUAUGUUGCUUUACAACAGAUUGACAUUGUGUAUUUACUAGUGCAUUUCCACCGUACAAACUGCUGAUGUAUUGGGAGUAGCAACAAGGUAAAAAGUUAAUCAGCAAUAAAGUCUAUUGAAACAC